AGCAGCCGCGGUAAUUCCAGCUCCAAUAGCGUAUAUUAAAGUUGUUGCAGUUAAAAAGCUCGUAGUUGAAUUUCGGGACCAUCAUGUCGGUCGUGCCUCGGUACGUACUGGCAUUGUUGGUUUCUCCCUUCUGACGAACCAUGAUGUCAUUUAUUUGGUGUCGUGGGAAAUCAGGACUGUUACUUUGAAAAAAUUAGAGUGUUUAAAGCAGGCUCACGCUUGAAUACAUUAGCAUGGAAUAAUGAAAUAGGACGUUUGAUUCUAUUUCGUUGGUUUCUAGGAUCGACGUAAUGAUUAAUAGGGAUAGUUGGGGGCAUUAGUAUUCAAUUGUCAGAGGUGAAAUUCUUGGAUUUAUUGAAGACUAACUACUGCGAAAGCAUUUGCCAAGGAUGUUUUCAUUAAUCAAGAACGAAAGUUAGGGGAUCGAAGACGAUCAGAUACCGUCGUAGUCUUAACCAUAAACUAUGCCGACUAGGGAUCGGAUGAUGUUAAUUUUUUAAUGACUCAUUCGGCGCCUUAC
rnacentral:misc_RNA from 1 species